rnacentral:rRNA from 1 species
AAUACCGGAUGGUUGUUUGAACCGCAUGGUUCAACAUAAAAGGUGGCUUCGGCUACCACUUACAGAUGGACCCGCGGCGCAUUAGCUAGUUGGUGAGGUAACGGCUCCCAAGGCAACGAUGCGUAGCCGACCUGAGAGGGUGAUCGGCCACACUGGGACUGAGACACGGCCCGACUCCUACGGGAGGCAGCAGUAGGGAAUCUUCCGCAAUGGACGAAAGUCUGACGGAGCAACGCCGCGUGAGUGUGAAGGUUUUCGGAUCGUAAAGCUCUGUUGUUAGGGAAGAACAAGUACCGUUCGAAUAGGGCGGUACCUUGACGGUACCUACCAGAAAGCCACGGCUAACUACGUGCCAGCAGCCGCGGUAAUACGUAGGUGGCAAGCGUUGUCCGGAAUUAUUGGGCGUAAGGGCUCGCAGGCGGUUUCUUAAGUCUGAUGUGAAAGCCCCCGGCUCAACCGGGGAGGGUCAUUGGAAACUGGGGACUUGAGUGCAGAAGAGGAGAGUGGAAUUCCACGUGUAGCGGUGAAAUGCGUAGAGAUGUGGAGGACACCAGUGGCGAAGGCGACUCUCUGGUCUGUAACUGACGCUGAGGGCGAAAGCGUGGGGAGCGAACAGGAUUAGAUACCCUGGUAGUCCACGCCGUAAACGAUGAGUGCUAAGUGUUGGGGGUUUCCGCCCCUUAGUGCUGCAGCUAACGCAUUAAGCACUCCGCCUGGGGAGUACGGUCGCAAGACUGAACUCAAAGGAAUUGACGGGGGCCCGCACAAGCGGUGGAGCAUGUGGUUUAAUUCGAAGCAACGCGAAGAACCUUCCAGGUCUUGACAUCCUCUGACAAUCCUAGAGAUAGGACGUCCCCUUCGGGGGCAGAGUGACAGGUGGUGCAUGGUUGUCGUCGCUCGUGUCGUGAGAUGUUGGGUUAAGUCCCGCAACGAGCGCAACCCUUGAUCUUAGUUGCCAGCAUUCGUUGGGCCUCUAAGGUGACUGCCGGUGACAAACCGGAGGAAGGUGGGGAUGACGUCAAAUCAUCAUGCCCC